rnacentral:rRNA from 1 species
AGAGUUUGAUCCUGGCUCAGGACGAACGCUGGCGGCGUGCUUAACACAUGCAAGUCGAGCGAUGAAGCUUCCUUCGGGAAGUGGAUUAGCGGCGGACGGGUGAGUAACACGUGGGUAACCUGCCUCAAAGUGGGGGAUAGCCUUCCGAAAGGAAGAUUAAUACCGCAUAAUAUGAGAGAAUCGCAUGAUUUUCUUAUCAAAGAUUUAUUGCUUUGAGAUGGACCCGCGGCGCAUUAGCUAGUUGGUAAGGUAAYGGCUUACCAAGGCAACGAUGCGUAGCCGACCUGAGAGGGUGAUCGGCCACAUUGGAACUGAGACACGGUCCAGACUCCUACGGGAGGCAGCAGUGGGGAAUAUUGCGCAAUGGGGGAAACCCUGACGCAGCAACGCCGCGUGGGUGAUGAAGGUCUUCGGAUUGUAAAGCCCUGUUUUCUGGGACGAUAAUGACGGUACCAGAGGAGGAAGCCACGGCUAACUACGUGCCAGCAGCCGCGGU